AAAGGUGCUAUGCUGCAGUCGAGCGACGCAUGCCCAGUUCGUAAGAACAGGGUAUGACGGAGCGGCGAACGGGUGAGUAACACGUGAGCAACCUGCCCCACAGACCGGGAUAGCCCAAGGAAACUUGGAUUAAUACCGGAUUCCCUCGAACAAUCGCAUGGUUGAUCGAGGAAAGGCCUUUGUGCUGUGGGAUGGGCUCGCGGCUUAUCAGCUAGUUGGUGGGGUAAAGGCCUACCAAGGCAUCGACGAGUAGCUGGUCUGAGAGGACGAUCAGCCACACUGGAACUGAGACACGGUCCAGACUCCUACGGGAGGCAGCAGCAGGGAAUCUUGCGCAAUGGGCGAAAGCCUGACGCAGCAACGCCGCGUGGGGGAUGAAGGCCUUCGGGUUGCAAACCCCUUUCAGGAGGGAAGAAAUUGACGGUACCUCCAGAAGAAGGACCGGCCAACUACGUGCCAGCAGCCGCGGUAAUACGUAGGGUCCUAGCGUUAUCCGGAAUCAUUGGGCGUAAAGAGCUCGUAGGCGGUUCAGCAAGUCGGCUGUGAAAGUCCGAGGCUUAACCUCGGAAUUGCAGUCGAUACUGCUGUGACUCGAGUCCGGUAGAGGAGAAUGGAAUUCUCGGUGUAGCGGUGAAAUGCGCAGAUAUCGAGAGGAACACCAGUAGCGAAGGCGGUUCUCUGGGCCGGCACUGACGCUGAGGAGCGAAAGCGUGGGGAGCAAACAGGAUUAGAUACCCUGGUAGUCCACGCCGUAAACGU
rnacentral:rRNA from 1 species